AGAAGAAUUUGUGGUGUCUGCUGUCCUCCGGAGCCCUGGGCAAAAGGCUGGAAGUUAUUGCCCAAUUUCAUUCCCAAAAGAACUUCUCGAAGGACAUAAUCCUGGAUUCUGCAGUGCAACGCAUGGUGGACUCGGUCCAGCACUAUAGGAAAUCAGGAUGACUCUUCCCAUUGACUUUAUUGGGCAAUGGCCUUGGACAUGGAUUCCUGACCCCUAUGCAUGCAGUGAUAGCCCUGAGACAGAUCAGUUAGAAACGUCUGAUAGAACCAAUUCUGUACCCUAGCUAGAUGACAGCAGCCGUUGCUCAAGCCUACUAGCCCUCUUGGCCUUAUUUCUGAAUCUGAAGAGUCACAGAAUGAAUGAGUGACUGGUUUCCUGGGAUUUUUACCAACUUCGGGAUCUGAGCGUCAACAAAUACAAAAAGCAAAUAAAAACACAGUUAAUAACAGUUUCCAUGAGACUGCUCAAAAAUAGUAGGCUAUGUAUUAAGUAGCUGAAAAAUGAUUUAGGACAGACUGUAAAUGCCUCUACUUUAAGUCUUUUGCAAAACGAACUUUGCAAAAUGAGCAAAUUUAUCUGAGUUGAUGGAUAAUAUUUCAUAAAAUCAGCAAUUCCCCUUGCCAGAGGAUACAAGCCAAAUCUUUUAAACUGA